rnacentral:lncRNA from 1 species
GGAAAAUCCAAGAAAACCGGCCAAAUUCAAACCUAGUGAUCCCGACGUCCAAAACCUUCAAACGAAGCACUCCGAGCUUUCUUGGGACCUCAAUAAGCUCACUAUAAGCUUAGAAUUCCCUGAAACACAACAUUUCACGUGUGCAUGAACAGUGACACAAAUUGGGGGUUCGGGUUUCCCGUUAUAUCAAAGGUUUCACUAUCUAAAAUUAGUACCAUUCAACUCAGGACGACGAAAGGAUGAAGAAUCUUACCUCAAUAGCUUCGAUCCGCUGAGUUUUGGAGGGUUUUGGGUGAGGUCCGUACGAUAUGGGUGAGAGAGAGUGAGAGAAUCGUGAGGGAGGAGAGAGAAAGUUACGGGAAAGAGGGAGAGGACAGGGAGUGUGUGAGGUGUCCAACACCAAUCCUCACCAUCCAUUUCAUCUAAUUCCCUAACCACAAAAUUAACAAAAGCCAAAAUUUUAAUCCAAAACUUAUAAUAAGUUAAUCCAAAUAACGUCACACACACAUACCUUAAUACCCGCUAAGGGUAAAUCCGUCAUUUCAUGCUUCCGAUAUAAAAUUUUCGGGACGGGCUGUGACAGUAAAUAUUUUAAAUUGAAAAUCAAAUUCAUUCAUUGUAUUCAUAGAAGGUCAACGAGUAUAGCUGUAAAAAAUCAUCAAAAUCGGAAUUAAAAUAGCCGUUAAAUCGUGAUUUUUUAUUUUAUAACCGUCGAAAAGUUUUGUUCCGUUACUUGAUCUCUGAAUGUUUGUUUUUGCGCUUUUUUGUUGAUGCGAUCUCGAAGCAUAUACAAAUAAGUUUAACGGUUGGAUAGUUGAAAUUAGUUUCGUGUAUCCCAUCAAGUUCAAUGGUGUGUAUAUAUAUAUUAUGUAGAUUUAAAUCUAUUUAUUUUGUACGUAUAAUUAUUAUAGUU